UAAAAAGUGCAGCAAGAUUGACACCUAUUUAGGUAGUACACAUGUAACAACCUACCUAAAGACCAAUUGGUUCCCUUAUGCUGAGCUGUGGGUUAUUUUGGCAGAACAUUCUUUCACUGUAGCAGUGAGACCAACAACAAGGCAGAGAGAUUCUUCCUUACACUGAAGUAUCAGUUUCUACGGGGCCAGGCCAACAAGAGAGUUGACCAACUUCUACAUUUGCUGUGUGGAGAUAUGCAGAAGUAUUACAGUUACAUGGAUGACCUCACAGAAGCUGGAAGGCUGAAAGUGGACACCUCCGCUGCUGCUAAGGAAGCUGCAGUCAUGUUUGAAAAGGGUCUUGGCUCAAACUUAAACAUUGACGAAAAUGGAAAAUGUUAUGUAAAAUCUGAAUCUGGUCCCAACUGCUACACAGUCAAUUUAGUUAACUUUAUGUGUGAUUGCGAAAGUUUCGGAAUAGGUAACCUGUGUAAACACAUAAUUUUAGUGAAGACAGAGGCAUGGACAUUGAGAACAUGCGAAAUACAGAAGCAGAAAAAGUAAUCUACAGUCAACUGUACCACAAAAAUGAUGACAACAUAACCGUCUUCCAUAGUGAUGGAAGCAUUAGUAUUGUCAGUCUGAAAAGUCCAACUUUGUGCACGUGUACAGCAAAUAGUCACAGAGAAAAAUGUGUCUGUAUACAUGUUGUAAAUAUCAUCCAACCUCAAGAGCUACCCACACACUCAGAAAACACAAUACAGUCACAAAAGCCUGAAGCUGAAUAGAAACCGUCUAUACAUGCCAUGUUGACAGACCUACUAGAGUGGUGCAAUUCAGAUUGUUUCAAGCCAAGCCAUGACCUGUAUAACACUGUACAAAGAGCACACAAGCUGGCUUUCAGCAACUUCACCAGUGUGUCCAAAAAAAAAGAAAAU